GGUCUGGUCAGUUGAUAUUUGAUCCAGGUCUGGUCAGUUGAUAUUGGAUUCAGGUCUGGUCAGUUGAUAUUGGAUUCAGGUCUGGUCAGUUGAUAGUUGAUCCAGGUCUGGUCAGUUGAUAUUUGAUCCAGGUCUGGUCAGUAGUCAGUUGAUAUUGGAUUCAGGUCUGGUCAGUAGUCACUUGAUAUUUGAUCCAGGUCUGGUCAGUAGUCACUUGAUAUUUGAUCCAGGUCUGGUCAGUUGAUAUUUGAUCCAGGUCUGGUCAGUAGUCAGUUGAUAUUUGAUCCAGGUCUGGUCAGUAGUCAGUUGAUAUUUGAUCCAGGUCUGGUCAGUAGUCAGUUGAUAUUUGAUCCAGGUCUGGUCAGUAGUCAGUUGAUAUUUGAUCCAGGUCUGGUCAGUAGUCAGUUGAUAUUUGAUCCAGGUCUGGUCAGUAGUCAGUUGAUAUUUGAUCCAGGUCUGGUCAGUAGUCAGUUGAUAUUUGAUCCAGGUCUGGUCAGUUGAUAUUUGAUCCAGG
ensembl:lncRNA